CCUCACGCAUGUGCCUCGAGGAGCGGAUUGCCAGUUUGGCACUUGGCAGCCGAUGCCUGCCACAGGCAGCAAAGCCCAUUUGUCAUCCAGGAGCGUGUUGAAGUCAUGUUUACAUAAAUCCUAAUGCCUCCCCCUCCCAGCAAAUGGGUCUUUGUGCCAUGGAUCUGGGACAGGCGGGGAUGGAGACAGAAGGGCUGCUGCCAUUGGGUGGGUGACACUGGGGGAGCCACAUCCAUGGAGAUGCAGAAAGUCCUCUCCCCAAACUGAUAACCCUCUGCCCCUUCCUGUCCCAGCACAGAAUGCUGAAUGAAAUGAGCUGAAAUGCUCAGAAAGCAGAAAAAUAGCCCUGCUUUCCACCCCACUGGUAUGGGAUUUAUUAAAGAAAGCCCUGGGAUGUGAGGAAGGAAGAGCGGCUGCUUCACGGUACUUUUGAAGGCUUUAUUAACCUGAAGGCUUGGAAAAUAGCUCUGCACUGUGUGUGAGCUCAGCUGUGUAAUGAGUUGCAGAAAAGCUGCCCUGCCCAGGUGGAUGAAGGCUGCAUUCGUCAAUGCUGAGUUACCCCCUUUUCACUUAUCAUGGACUGCUCAGCAGCAGGACUGGCACCUCCAGCCAAGGAACUAAUGAAUUGAGCAAUAAAUUGAGUCAGUUUUGUCACUGCUCACAUCCAGACUGAUUUAAGAGCAUCCCUGCACAACCCAGUCCUAUCCAUCCAGACCUAUUUCCCAUCUCCCUUCCUUUAUAACUUGUUCUAGCAGAAAUGCUAAGUCAGGGCUUGAAGCAGUGAUUGAGCACCUGUAGGAAGUCAGGGCCAGCCCAGGGGAGCUCAGGUGUAUGCAAUGUACCUGAAUGACCAGAAGGGCUGCAGCCAGGAUCCACCCCUUUCCAGCCCUCAUUUAAGGGUUGGCAAUGGAGGCAAAGGUAGCUCUUUGGUGGUCCUUGUGGAUCUGAGGUCUUCUGAAGGCAUCAUUUGCAGCAAUACCACUCACAGUUGGCAGCACGUUAUUAAAAGCACCUGGCCAUGAAAGGAAAUCGGAUCGCAGGGCAUGUUUGGUAGUGCUGUGGUUUCAGAGCUCUUGGGCACACCAUGGCACGAGAGGGGACUCAGUGGGUGCAUGGGGUGGAAUGAGGACAAGUGGCCCUGUGUGGGCUCCCCAAGCCCCUUCCCAUUGCUCUAUGCCCAUGGGUUUCUGUCCAGCAGGAUAGAUGCUGGAGAUGGGAAACCAUGGCUGUAGGCUGAUUCACUGGAACAGCUUGCCCAGAGCAGUGGUGGAUGCCACAUCCCUGGAGACAUUCAAGCUCAGGCUGUACAGGACUCUGAGCACCUGAUGGAGCUGUAGGUGUCCCUGUUCACUGCAAGGGAGUUGGACUAGGUAACCUUUAAGGGUCCCUUCCAACCCAAAUGAUUCUAUGACUUGUCAUCCUCAAUUCCCACUCUCUCCUCUUCUGCAAUCUCUGCAACUUCCAAACUCAACCCGAGACCAGUGGGAACGCGGUAAUAAAAAGCAACAACAACCUAAAAAAAUCCCUGCUGGAAGCUAUUUUUAAGCAAGUGACCCCUCCGUCCCCCUCAGAGCCUUUUAUUGCAACCCAAACACGAGGGCACACCAACGUCAUGGGAAUCCGAAAGAAAAAGGGAUUAACAGGGAGCUAUUGCCCAAAGUUCAACAGCCCAAGCUGUGUCCCUCUCCCAAGUGAUGUGCAAAGGGUAAAUAUGCAAUAAGAAGCAUGAAAAGUGGUUUAGGAGACCCAUCAUCCAUCAGACGUCAGGUCUGUUGGAGGAGGAAUUUCUCAGGUAGUGGAGCAAGCUCUAAGAAGUGGAAUUUUUCUGGUUGUUUUUCGAGUCUUAAUUCAGAGCAGGGAACAAGAAAAGGCAAAGAUAUGACCCAAGGAUCUCUGAGUUGUGCUGGAGGAAAAGAUCAAUUCAUAAUACUGAGAAGAAAUGUAAAUAAAUGGUCCAUCUUGGUGGGAACUGACCCCUGGUGUUCCCAUGGCCUGGCCAUCAAAAAUAAUUUCCUUUUCCUGUAUGUAUGUAUCAAUGUGUAUAUACACAUGCACACAUAUGUGUAUAUUUAUAUGUAUUUUGAAUCAUGCUAUAGAAUUUGUAGGCGUUCAGGGAGCGGUACCCUGGUGAAACAGCUUUCUAUUGAAGACUGAACUGUACGCAGCAGUAAGGUCUGCACUGAACAACCUUGCUCCCUUUUGUGUUUUCUCUUCCUGAUUUCUAGGUGGUUGGUUUUUUUCUGGCUGUUACAUCUAGGAGUAAUUUGUAGGGGUCAGGACACGGGCUGUAACUCCAGCGCUGCGUUUCAUGUUGCUACCGUUUCACUGAAAGCAGAGAGUGAAAUCUGUGUAAAAACAACAAUAAAUAGUAAAAUCCAAGUCUUACGGAGCUCUUCAAUCAGAGUUUCUCAAAUUAUUUUGCAAAUGGAGAAGGCAUUAAAGAAUUUUUGCUAACGGAGAAAGCAGCUCCAGUCAGGGUUCUCUCCUCGUCCUUUUGGAAAUAGAUGUGGCAACCAUGAUCUAUGAAUGCUCAACUCAAACUUAGCAGAUGAUGGCCAGAAAUCCUGCAGGAAGAUGGAUUCAAAGAGCUUUAGAUGGAGAACAGCAUCACUUCCUCUGCACCACCCUCAUACAGGACACUGAGCUCAUUGCGUUGGCUUCGGUAUCAACAUUGUUAUGGAGGUGGAUGCUCAGCUUCCUCCAGGGCUAAACUUCCUGCUGUGAUGAGGAACGUCCCUGAGCCUCAAAGAAUAAGAGAUAUCUCUUCACGACGUGAAUCAGAAAUGGAGAGACUGAGGUUAGCAUUUUUCUAUUGUUUUUGGUUCUGGCUUUUCUACUGUUAGACUUGGAGGACUCAACAGAUCUCCUUCGCAUUGAUCAUCUCACAGUGAUGCAGUGAUGCAUAGUGGUGGGUGGGUGGAUGGAUGGAGGGAUGGGUGGAUGGAUGGAGGGAGUGAGGGAUGGAUGGAUGAAGGGAUGGAUGAAGGGAUGUAUGGAUGAAGGGGUGGAUGGAUGAAGGGAUGGAUGAAUGAGUGGAUGAGUAGGUGUAUGGAUGACUGCAUGGAUGAAAAGAUGGGACUCAGAAGGGUUCUCACUCACACAGCUGCGCUUAAUGAGUUGGAAGGAGAGAGAGCAAAAUGUAAGCAACCAAAAAUACAAAUAAGAGAAAGUAAUUAUUGUCCUCUCCAUUUUUCUCCAGAUCUCUACAUAGCCCAGUCUCUGUAAUAAUGGUCUUAUGUUAAAUUCUGAGAUAGCCCAGCAUACAAGAAAGCACAAGUGGGAGAGUGGUGGUCAGUAGCUGUCCCUGGGGCUACUUAUCUGUGUUUGUCCUGGCCUCUUCAAGUGCCUCCAUCACCAUAAAGAAGUCAGAAAUGCCCCUCUGCCCUCACCCCAACCUCUGGCAAUAAAUCCAAGGCGAUGCAAUGCACAGCACAGCCAGGGACUGUGCCAGAACUGUCUCUGGAGCAGCACAGCCAGGACGACAGUACCAGGAGAACAUAAAUUUCAGCCUGCUCUGCCUUAUACCAUGAAUGCUGAGAGAGAGAAAUGUAAUACAAGCCUCUCCCAGGCCAUUCCUGUGCCAAACAGCAGCCUCUAUAUCAUUUGUUGGCUUAUUAUAAACAGGCUCCCACUGCAGUUUUGAAGCAGAUAUUUUUUAUGAAUAAAUGCAGCGGUUGUUUCUUUUUUUCUCCUCUACAAAUCCAUUGCUUGCAAACCUUCACGUGUCAGUGUGAAAAAGCAAGUACCCCUCAUAUCCCAUUCCCAUACUAGCCGGGAGGCUCUGCAAUGUCCCCUUCAUAACUGAUUAGCAGCAGUCUGUUAACGUUCAUACCCAGAUUCCCUGUUUACUACUUAUGCAAAGGCUUUUUUUUCCACCAGUGUAAACACAGUUGAUCACUUUAUAUCCUCUGUAUAUUGUUUCUUAAUAUGAAUGAAGUGAAGCAGGCGAAGCAGCAGUCGCUCAGAUUAUGGCCUAACAUAAACUUACAGUGGGUUCUGAAGUGUUUGGUUUUGCAAACUGUGAAAAUGGCUUAAACUGUGUAAUAGGAACACGGUCAUAUUGUUAGCACUUAGCAUUUGAUAUUUAAAAUAAAAAAAAAAAAUUAGGACAUGGAUAUCUUUGCAGCAUACAAAUGUGAUCUGUUUCCCUUGCUGUAUUUUUUUUCCUUUUUAAACAACUCUCCCUGGACAAAUGUUAUAUCUGCUACUGCAUAAUCCAAGACAAACAAACCUGCUGCGAGAGCAUUUAAAAGAAGCAGGUUCUUGCAUUCAAAUGAGGUAAAGAGAAAGAAAUACUUGACCUUUUUUUUUUUGCCAAAAAUAUUAUGGCUCACAUUUGUUUUUUAUUUUCCUUUUAUUAAAUCACUUUAAUAAAC
ensembl:lncRNA